GCGCGAAAACUUUACAAUGCUGGCAACAGCGAUAAGGGAACCUCGAGUGCCAGGUUACAAAUCUGGCUGUCGAGAUGCCUAAAAAGCAUUUCAUAGCAAGGGCCGGGCAAGACCGGUGCCAGCCGCCGCGGUAACACCGGCGGCUCGAGUGGUAACCGUUAUUAUUGGGUCUAAAGGGUCUGUAGCCGGCCGGAUAAGUCUCUUGAGAAAUCUGGCAGCUUAACUGUCAGGCUUUCAGGAGAUACUGUCUGGCUCGAGGCCGGGAGAGGUGAGAGGUACUUCAGGGGUAGGGUGAAAUCUUGUAAUCCUUGAAGGACCACCAGUGGCGAAGGCGUCUCACCAGAACGGACCUGACGGCAAGGGACGAAAGCUAGGGGCACGAACCGGAUUAGAAACCCGAGU
rnacentral:rRNA from 1 species